AGAGUUUGAUCCUGGCUCAGAUUGAACGCUGGCGGAAUGCUUUACACAUGCAAGUCGAACGGUAGAGGGGGCAACCCCUUGAGAGUGGCGAACGGGUGAGUAAUAUAUCGGAACGUGCCCAGUCGUGGGGGAUAACGUAGCGAAAGUUGCGCUAAUACCGCAUACGAUCUAAGGAUGAAAGCGGGGGAUCGCAAGACCUCGCGCGAUUGGAGCGGCCGAUAUCAGAUUAGGUAGUUGGUGGGGUAAAGGCUCACCAAGCCAACGAUCUGUAGCUGGUCUGAGAGGACGACCAGCCACACUGGAACUGAGACACGGUCCAGACUCCUACGGGAGGCAGCAGUGGGGAAUUUUGGACAAUGGACGCAAGUCUGAUCCAGCCAUUCCGCGUGCAGGAUGAAGGCCCUCGGGUUGUAAACUGCUUUUGUACGGAACGAAAAGGUUUCCAUUAAUACUGGGGGCUCAUGACGGUACCGUAAGAAUAAGCACCGGCUAACUACGUGCCAGCAGCCGCGGUAAUACGUAGGGUGCAAGCGUUAAUCGGAAUUACUGGGCGUAAAGCGUGCGCAGGCGGUUAUGUAAGACAGAGGUGAAAUCCCCGGGCUCAACCUGGGAACUGCCUUUGUGACUGCAUAGCUAGAGUACGGUAGAGGGGGAUGGAAUUCCGCGUGUAGCAGUGAAAUGCGUAGAUAUGCGGAGGAACACCGAUGGCGAA
rnacentral:rRNA from 1 species